rnacentral:rRNA from 1 species
AAACUUAAAGGAAGUUGGACGGGGAGCACUACAACGGGUGGAGCCUGCGGUUUAAUUGGAUUCAACGCCGGAAAUCUCACCGGGGCGACAGCAAUAUGAAGGUCAGGCUGAAGACCUUACCCGAUUAGCUGAGAGGUGGUGCAUGGCCGUCGUCAGUUCGUACUGUGAAGCAUCCUGUUAAGUCAGGCAACGAGCGAGACCCACGUCCACAGUUGCCAGCAUACCCUCCGGGGUGAUGGGUACACUGUGGAGACCGCCGCUGCUAAAGCGGAGGAAGGAGUGGGCAACGGUAGGUCAGUAUGCCCCGAAUCUCCCGGGCUACACGCGGGCUACAAUGGUUGGUACAAUGGGCAUCUACCCCGAAAGGGGAAGGAAAUCUCUUAAAGCCAAUCGUAGUUCGGAUUGAGGGCUGCAACUCGCCCUCAUGAAGCUGGAAUCCGUAGUAAUCGCGUUUCAACAGAACGCGGUGAAUACGUCCCUGCUCCUU